rnacentral:rRNA from 1 species
UACGAAGGGGGCUAGCGUUGUUCGGAUUUACUGGGCGUAAAGCGCACGUAGGCGGAUCGAUCAGUCAGGGGUGAAAUCCCAGAGCUCAACUCUGGAACUGCCUUUGAUACUGUCGAUCUGGAGUAUGGAAGAGGUGAGUGGAAUUCCGAGUGUAGUGGUGAAAUGCGUAGAUAUCGGGAGGAAUACCAGUGGCGAAGGCGGCUUCUUGGCCUAUUCGUUGACGCUGAGGCGCGAAAGCUGGGGGAGCAAACGGG